rnacentral:tRNA from 1 species
GGCGGGUUGCCAGAGUGGCCUAUUGGAGCGGACUGUAAAUCCGCAGAGCCUUCCGGUUCCGAGGGUUCGAAUCCCUCACCCGCCGCCA